rnacentral:lncRNA from 1 species
CUAUAAUGUGGGAGACCCGGGUUUGAUCCCUGGUUGGGGAAGAUCAUCUGGAGAAGGAAAUGGCAACCCACUCCUGUACUUUUGCCUGGAAAAUCUCAUGGGAGGAGCCUGGUAGGCUACAGUCCAUGGAGUCCCAAAGAGUCAGACACGACUGAAUGACUUUACUUCACUUACUUCUAGGAAGAAUCCACAUGCCAAAGAGCAACUGAAUCUGUGAGCCACAAUACUAAGCCCAUGAGCGGCAACUACUGAAGGCUUCAUGCUACAACAGGAGAAGCCACUGAAAUGAAAUAAGAAGCCCUUGCACGCACAACAAUAACACAAUAUGCUUUAUGCUAAAUAGGUAACAACUCCAUAUACAGUGCUUUUUGGGCAACGAGACUGUGAUGCCUCAUUGGAAGAGUGGCUGAAUGCUUCAGUGAGUCUGGGGUGAUGGGUAAACAGGUGUUUCCUGGUUCCAACUCUGUUUUAUCUCCUUAGAACACAUGAUGAAUAUGAAAAAUGUGCUAACCACAUAUGAAGUCCCCUACAGACAACCAGAAUUUCAGCAGGCAGCAGCGACCACCCAGCUGGAAGCUGGAAGAUUGACACGUGGGAACUUCAAGAUAUCCAAGAGUUAUCCGAGAAGUCCUUCCUGCUCCUGCUAUCCUAUUUUCCUGAUUGCUCCUUUUUCAACACUUUGAACAAUGAAGAUACAAGUAUCUUCACUUGUAUCCAGCUCUUUGCGACUCCAUGGUCUGUAGCCCUCCAGGCUCCUCUGUCCACGGGAUGCUCCAGGCAAGAAUACUGGAGUGUGUUGCUAUCUCCUCCUCCAGGUGAUCUUCCCGACCCAGGGAUGGAACCCAUCUCCUACGUCUCCCGCAUUGGCAGGUGGGUUCUUUACCACCAGCGCCACCAGGAAAGCCCCUUCAGCACUAUACUAUCAUUGUUUUUCUAUAACCACUUUUCUUUUCCCGAGAUUACCUUUUUGCCAAGAACUGACCGAAAUUCCUCAGUGAGAGGUGAGAGCAAAUGGUGGAAGAGAAGACAACUACAGCAAUGAAGGUGGGAGAAAACAAAGAUCAUGAAUUCACACAUUAAUAUUUUCCUUCAGGAAUGCUUCUUCUCAUUCUAAUUCAUUGCCCAUAGGAUAGGCCGAAACCAUCUAAAACCGAAUGCCUUCAUGGGCAAGCUGUCCAAUGUCUCAGAUCCCUUCCCUCCCCUGUGCUGACUCCACAGUACUCCUCAUUUCUCAUCAUCCCAGAUCCAGGCAGGUCCACCUCAGGUAGGUCUCCUGCUUGGACUUAUAGUAAG